AUUCGGUUGUCUUCUGAUUUCGAGCAACAUCGAUUUCUUUUCUGAUAACGAUGCAAUCGUUAACAGAACAAUUAUCAGUGCGGACGCAAAGAGCUCGAAGAAUUGUUGGCUUUUCGUUAUAAGAUACUACACAAGAUUCGCUAAAACUCACCUGUUCGUGGCAACAUAAACUCGGUAAACGUUGAUGAAUUCGUUGGUGACUUUGUAGCACUCUGGUGGGUGUACCGAGCCGAAAAAUUCCAUCUUUUAUCUUAUCGCUACGAACCGUGAUGGGAAGAAUAAGGCUAGUGAUAAUGGUAGGAGGUAGAUCUUGCGAAAUUUUAGACGGAUUUUGGAUACAGGAAAGGUUGAAGGAUGUCAACGGUUGGACUAGAGAAAGAAGACUUGGCACCUUUUCUUCUUGUGACAUCGAACAACCACCUGUCGGCCAUUCUGACUUAAGCAGAGCAGAGACAGCGGAGCUCUUAGGUUCUUUUAAUGCAGAUGCCCAAACCGAAUUCUCAUCGUGACGACUACUUAGUUGUUCCUUGUCGAAAAUACCAGUCGAUUCAACAGAACUUCUGUUAAGAAAUGACUUUUUGUAAUUUGGUAUCCAUACCACAUAUAACGAAGUAGCUGAAAAUGUAAAAUAAAAUAAUUUAUAUCUUUUAAACGACAUAUAU
rnacentral:lncRNA from 1 species